CUCACGUGCCAUAUGCAGGAGGAGUGCAAUCUUGGGUGGGACUCAAGAAGAACAAGGACAACUUUGAGUGGAGCGACGCAACACCUACGGGCAACAUUGUGUGGGUGCCAAACGGGCCGAAAGGGCGUGGUGGCUGCUCUGCCUUGUCGCCGACUGGUCAACUUGAGGAUUGGUCCUGCACCGAAAGUCGGCCAUUCAUCUGUAAAAAAGCCAAGGUCCAAGAGUUUCUUCUUCCUCCGCCGGC